rnacentral:tRNA from 2 species
ACCGGCGUAGUAUAAGGGUAGUACAGCGGUCUCCAAAACCGUUAGUGUGGGUUCGAAUCCUGCCGCCGGUG